rnacentral:lncRNA from 1 species
AUUCUUAUCUAAGUUUGACACCUAUGUCAAGGAGAAUCUGAUUUAAAGCUUCCGAGGUAUUGUGAGGUAUCGCAGGGAACUCAAUGGAGAUCAGAGAUCCACCAAAUCCAGGGACAAGAGCAGGGGCAGCUAUUCUCUGUCUGGGUCCUGCUCUCUUACAGUCAUUCUUGCUGUGUCUUACUUUCUCUGGUAAAAUUUGGAUAAUUGACAGGGUAAUUGUCCUAAAGAACAGAGAUGAAAGGUUAAGAAUAAUUCCUAAGUCAUCCUGGCAACGACAGUCAAGUAGAUCAACUUUUUUCCGGAUUCCUAAAAUGAGACCUCUGCUAUUGACCCACUAAGCAUUUGACAUUGUCAGUAACAAUCAGGCUGAGAUCUGAGGCUUGCAACGCUGCUGGAAUAGAUUUUCCCUCACAAGGAGUGGCUUGGGGUCCAGUUGAAGAGUUAUAGGGACUUCGAAGGUAGUACAGUUCACUGCUUUCUAUCCACAGAGUAAAUUCUUAUGAAAAUCAGAGGGUUUUUUUUUUUUUCCUAAUCUUAAAUCUUCCCAGAAAAGGAGAUUCCUUUCCUUGGCAACCUACUGCAACUUCACAAACAGUUCUCACUUUCUUAUAGGGCACCUUGAACCCUCCUACCCCAUAGUGUUUC